rnacentral:rRNA from 1 species
UUACCCUACGGGACGCAGCAGUGGGGAAUAUUGCACAAUGGGGGAAACCCUGAUGCAGCGACGCCGCGUGAGUGAAGAAGUAAUUCGUUAUGUAAAGCUCUAUCAGCAGGGAAGAGAAUGACGGUACCUGAGUAAGAAGCCCCGGCUAACUACGUGCCAGCAGCCGCGGUAAUACGUAGGGGGCAAGCGUUAUCCGGAUUUAUUGGGUUUAAAGGGUGCGUAGGCGGAAUGCCAAGUCAGCGGUAAAAUCGCGGGGCUCAACCUCGCUCCGCCGUUGAAACUGGCGUUCUUGAGUGGGCGAGAAG